rnacentral:snRNA from 9 species
AUACUUACCUGGCGUAGGGACACCGUGUUCGUGCAGGCGGUUCCUCCAGGGUGAGGCCAUUCCAUUGCACUGCGGAGUAGUUGACCCUUGCGAUUAUUUUUAUUUUUUAUAAGAUUCACUUCUACCGUGUGUGACUUGCACACACAAACAUAUUAUUUUUUUCAAGUAACGCUAGCUACUCC